UUAUGAGAGUUUGAUCCUGGCUCAGGACGAACGCUGGCGGCGUGCCUAAUACAUGCAAGUCGAACGCUUCUUUUUCCACCGGAGCUUGCUCCACCGGAAAAAGAGGAGUGGCGAACGGGUGAGUAACACGUGGGUAACCUGCCCAUCAGAAGGGGAUAACACUUGGAAACAGGUGCUAAUACCGUAUAACAAUCGAAACCGCAUGGUUUUGAUUUGAAAGGCGCUUUCGGGUGUCGCUGAUGGAUGGACCCGCGGUGCAUUAGCUAGUUGGUGAGGUAACGGCUCACCAAGGCCACGAUGCAUAGCCGACCUGAGAGGGUGAUCGGCCACAUUGGGACUGAGACACGGCCCAAACUCCUACGGGAGGCAGCAGUAGGGAAUCUUCGGCAAUGGACGAAAGUCUGACCGAGCAACGCCGCGUGAGUGAAGAAGGUUUUCGGAUCGUAAAACUCUGUUGUUAGAGAAGAACAAGGAUGAGAGUAACUGUUCAUCCCUUGACGGUAUCUAACCAGAAAGCCACGGCUAACUACGUGCCAGCAGCCGCGGUAAUACGUAGGUGGCAAGCGUUGUCCGGAUUUAUUGGGCGUAAAGCGAGCGCAGGCGGUUUCUUAAGUCUGAUGUGAAAGCCCCCGGCUCAACCGGGGAGGGUCAUUGGAAACUGGGAGACUUGAGUGCAGAAGAGGAGAGUGGAAUUCCAUGUGUAGCGGUGAAAUGCGUAGAUAUAUGGAGGAACACCAGUGGCGAAGGCGGCUCUCUGGUCUGUAACUGACGCUGAGGCUCGAAAGCGUGGGGAGCAAACAGGAUUAGAUACCCUGGUAGUCCACGCCGUAAACGAUGAGUGCUAAGUGUUGGAGGGUUUCCGCCCUUCAGUGCUGCAGCUAACGCAUUAAGCACUCCGCCUGGGGAGUACGACCGCAAGGUUGAAACUCAAAGGAAUUGACGGGGGCCCGCACAAGCGGUGGAGCAUGUGGUUUAAUUCGAAGCAACGCGAAGAACCUUACCAGGUCUUGACAUCCUUUGACCACUCUAGAGAUAGAGCUUCCCCUUCGGGGGCAAAGUGACAGGUGGUGCAUGGUUGUCGUCAGCUCGUGUCGUGAGAUGUUGGGUUAAGUCCCGCAACGAGCGCAACCCUUAUUGUUAGUUGCCAUCAUUCAGUUGGGCACUCUAGCAAGACUGCCGGUGACAAACCGGAGGAAGGUGGGGAUGACGUCAAAUCAUCAUGCCCCUUAUGACCUGGGCUACACACGUGCUACAAUGGGAAGUACAACGAGUCGCGAAGUCGCGAGGCUAAGCUAAUCUCUUAAAGCUUCUCUCAGUUCGGAUUGCAGGCUGCAACUCGCCUGCAUGAAGCCGGAAUCGCUAGUAAUCGCGGAUCAGCACGCCGCGGUGAAUACGUUCCCGGGCCUUGUACACACCGCCCGUCACACCACGAGAGUUUGUAACACCCGAAGUCGGUGAGGUAACCUUUUGGAGCCAGCCGCCUAAGGUGGGAUAGAUGAUUGGGGUGAAGUCGUAACAAGGUAGCCGUAUCGGAAGGUGCGGCUGGAUCACCUCCUUU
rnacentral:rRNA from 1 species